GCCUUGCCGGACGAGCUGAGAGGAGGUGCAUGGCCGUCGCCAGUGCGUGCCGUGAGGUGUCCUGUUAAUUCAGGCAACGGACGAGACCCGCGCCUCCAGUUGCGACCGGGCCGAAAGGCGCCGAGCACUCUGGAGGGACUGCCCCGGAAACGGGGAGGAAGGAGCGGGCUACGGCAGGUCAGUAUGCCCCGAAUCCCCCGGGCCGCACGCGACGUUCAAUGGUGGGGACAGUGGGCUGCGACCCCGAAAGGGGAAGCCAAUCCCUAAACCCCACCUCAGUAGGGAUCGAGGGUUGCAACUCGCCCUCGUGAACGCGGAAUCCCUAGUAACCGCCCGUUACCACCGGGCGGUGAAUACGUCCCCGCUCCUUGCACACACUGCCCGUCGCUGCACCCGAGCUGGAACUGGGCGAGGGCCCGUCUUGUUGGCGGGUUCGAGCCCGGUUCUGGUGAGGGGGCAGAAGUCGUAACAAGGUGGCCGCACGGGAACGUGUGGCCGGAUCACCUCCU
rnacentral:rRNA from 1 species